rnacentral:rRNA from 1 species
UGGGGAAUUUUGGACAAUGGGCGAAAGCCUGAUCCAGCAAUGCCGCGUGUGUGAAGAAGGCCUUCAGGUUGUAAAGCACUUUUGUCCGGAAAGAAAUCCUUGGCUCUAAUACAGUCGGGGGAUGACGGUACCGGAAGAAUAAGCACCGGCUAACUACGUGCCAGCAGCCGCGGUAAUACGUAGGGUGCAAGCGUUAAUCGGAAUUACUGGGCGUAAAGCGUGCGCAGGCGGUUUGCUAAGACCGAUGUGAAAUCCCCGGGCUCAACCUGGGAACUGCAUUGGUGACUGGCAGGCUAGAGUAUGGCAGAGGGGGGUAGAAUUCCACGUGUAGCAGUGAAAUGCGUAGAGAUGUGGAGGAAUACCGAUGGCGAAGGCAGCCCCCUGGCCAAGUACUGACGCUCAUGCACGAAAGCGUGGGGAGCAAACAGGAUUAGAUACCCUGGUAGUCCACGCCCUAAACGAUGUCAACUAGUUGUUGGGGAUUCAUUUCCUUAGUAACGUAGCUAACGCGUGAAGUUGACCGCCUGGGGAGUACGGUCGCAAGAUUAAAACUCAAAGGAAUUGACGGGGUCAUAGCUGUUUCCU